CUUGUGGCCUCCACUGCCCUCCCCAAGCCUGCGGCCUCAUUUUCUAGCCAACCUCUCACCCUGAGAAGCCCCAGUGGAGCCAGUGCAGGGGGAGACUUCCAUUCCAGGAAGGUUCAGAUCAAGCUUCAGCCAACACUUAUGGCAGAGCAUUACUUUAAAGUAAUGCUCAAUGCUUUAAAAAACGUGGAAGAUGCUGAAUUUACAGGAACCCCUUUACUGGGAGCGAAACGGGAACCUUCAUCAUAUCACUAUGUUGACCCCACAGUUGGCAAAUGUGUGACCUCCUUUUAUUUGGUCUUGAGUUCCUUUUUUUAAAAUCUCAUUGCACACAUCCUUUAUAUAACCUGCUUCAAAUUAUUUUUCGAGAAAAAUGUUUAAAAAACCAAAAAACCUUUUCUUUUGGGGAUGAUGAAAAUGUGAAAUUCGAAAAUGUUUGUGUAUGGUUACACAUUGUAAAUACACUAAAGCCCCUUGACUUAUGCACUUUAAAGUGAAUGCACCUAAUAGAAUGUAAAUUAUGUAUCAUUAAAACUUUUAAAAAACCUUGAGGUUAUUGGGGGUGGUGGGAGCAGGGAGAAGGGACACGCUAUUGAUUAUCCAAUGACUC